AACGAACGCUGGCGGCAUGCCUAACACGUGCAAGUCGAACGAAGCCUUCGGGCUUAGUGGCGCACGGGUGCGUAACGCGUGGGAAUCUGCCCUUGGGUUCGGAAUAACAGUUAGAAAUGACUGCUAAUACCGAAUGAUGUCUUCGGACCAAAGAUUUAUCGCCCAAGGAUGAGCCCGCGUCGGAUUAGCUAGUUGGUGAGGUAAAGGCUCACCAAGGCGACGAUCCGUAGCUGGUCUGAGAGGAUGAUCAGCCACACUGGGACUGAGACACGGCCCAGACUCCUACGGGAGGCAGCAGUGGGGAAUAUUGGACAAUGGGCGAAAGCCUGAUCCAGCAAUGCCGCGUGAGUGAUGAAGGCCUUAGGGUUGUAAAGCUCUUUUACCCGGGAAUGAUAAUGACAGUACCGGGAGAAUAAGCCCCCGGCUAACUCCGUGCCAGCAGCCGCGGUAAU
rnacentral:rRNA from 1 species